CCCAUCCUGGUCCCGAUCCCAUCCCGGUCCCGAUCCCAUCCCGGUCCCGAUCCCAUCCCGGUCCCGAUGCAGCCCCGCUGAGGCUGUGGCAGGCAGCCAUGGGAGUUACACCUCCUUCCUUCAGGCUUGGAAAUCUCUCUCCUGCAGGGAUUCCCAGGCUGGGUUUGUGGACACACCAGCCCGUCAGAUGAAGCACAGGAGCUCUUGGGAGCAGCAGCAGCACCUGACCGACCACAGCCUGUGGAGCCCAGUAGGUGUCAGUCCAGCCAAGGCUUCCUGAGCACAGCCGUGAAUAAACCUCUGCUGCCCUCCUGCCUCUUCCUUCCCAGCCCAGAAACCUGGCUGGCAUCAUUUCCCAUCACAGUCACAGCCAGCACAUCAGAGAUUCCCUUUUCCCUGCUGUUACCUUCUAAUAAAUGUCUGCAUGGUUGGCCUUUCCUUUCCCUGGCUGCUCACCUGCCCUGGCUGCCUGGCAGGGGUAGAGCUCGGGCUGGGAUUUGCAGGGGAUUAGCUUUGCCAUCAAGCAUUGGGGUGGAAAAGCACAAAUCCAGGGAGCCGCCCUGAGGAGAAGAAUUUGGGAGCUCAACAUGACCCGAGCUGGCCCCCAGAACCUCCCCAGCCCCAUGCCCUGGGCUGAGCCCCAGCGUGGGCAGCAGGGGAGGGGAAAUUCUGCCCCACUCAGGUGAGACCCCACCUGCAGAGCUGCCCCCAGAUCUGGGGCCCGACACAGGAGGGACCUGCAGCUGCUGGAGAGAGCCCAGAGCAGGCCAAGGAGCUGCUCCAGGGCUGGAGCCCC